ACGAACGCUGGCGGCGUGCUUAACACAUGCCAGUCGAACGGAAAGGCCCUGCUUUUGUGGGGUGCUCGAGUGGCGAACGGGUGAGUAACACGUGAGUAACCUGCCCUUGACUUUGGGAUAACUUCAGGAAACUGGGGCUAAUACCGGAUAGGAGCUCCUGCUGCAUGGUGGGGGUUGGAAAGUUUCGGCGGUUGGGGAUGGACUCGCGGCUUAUCAGCUUGUUGGUGGGGUAGUGGCUUACCAAGGCUUUGACGGGUAGCCGGCCUGAGAGGGUGACCGGCCACAUUGGGACUGAGAUACGGCCCAGACUCCUACGGGAGGCAGCAGUGGGGAAUAUUGCACAAUGGGCGGAAGCCUGAUGCAGCAACGCCGCGUGCGGGAUGACGGCCUUCGGGUUGUAAACCGCUUUCGCCUGUGACGAAGCGUGAGUGACGGUAAUGGGUAAAGAAGCACCGGCUAACUACGCG
rnacentral:rRNA from 1 species